CACUAUUAUCUCAUUUAGCAAAUGAGCCGUGCGCAUCCAAGCGUUUCGCAGAAAUCCGCGUCCCAAAACCAAUAAUGCGUGCAAUCU
ensembl:ncRNA C52B9.13 ncRNA